rnacentral:ncRNA from 1 species
UGAUAGCGUAGAAGCGUGAGGUUGCUGCCAAUAUGGCAGGUUUUCCGUGGAGCGAAUGUCAAGUUAGGAAACUGGCGACAA